UACGUAGGGGGCAAGCGUUGUCCGGAAUCAUUGGGCGUAAAGAGCGUGUAGGCGGUCCUGUAAGUCCGCUGUGAAAGUCAAGGGCUCAACCCUUGAAUGCCGGUGGAUACUGCAGGACUAGAGUCCGGAAGAGGCGAGUGGAAUUCCUGGUGUAGAGGUGAAAUUCGUAGAUAUCGGGAGGAACACCAGUGGCGAAGGCGGCUAUCUGGACGUCAACUGACGCUGAGGCGCGAAGGCGUGGGGAGCGAACGGG
rnacentral:rRNA from 1 species